CCGGAGCCGAGCGAGCUGGGCCUGCUUCAGACCCGCUGGAGCUUUGGGGAUGGAGCGUCCAGAUUAGCACACGAGGGAUCGCAUUCCAGCCCAACAGACACACGGCGAGAAGAGCCAGGAUGGAGGCCGAGGCCG